rnacentral:rRNA from 1 species
AUUGAACGCUGGCGGCAGGCCUAACACAUGCAAGUCGAACGAGUGGCAGACGGGUGAGUAAUGUCUGGGAAACUGCGAUAUGGGGGGGGAUAACUACUGGAAAGUGUAGCAAAUACCGCAUACCCUCGGAUGUGCCCAGAUGGUAUUAGCGAGUAGGUGGGGUAACGGCUCACCUAGGCGACGAUCCCUAGCUGGUCUGAGAGGAUGACCAGCCACACUGGAACUGAGACACGGUCCAGACUCCUACGGGAGGCAGCAGUGGGGAAUAUUGCACAAUGGGCGCAAGCCUGAUGCAGCCAUGCCGCGUGUAUGAAGAAGGCCUUAGGGUUGUAAAGUACUUUCAGCGGGGAGGCGUUACUCGCAGAAGAAGCACCGGCUAACUCCGUGCCAGCAGCCGCGGUAAUUC